UACGUAGGGUCCGAGCGUUGUCCGGAAUUAUUGGGCGUAAAGAGCUCGUAGGCGGUCUGUUGCGUCGGCUGUGAAAACCCGGGGCUCAACUCCGGGCCUGCAGUCGAUACGGGCAGACUAGAGUUCGGUAGGGGAGACUGGAAUUCCUGGUGUAGCGGUGAAAUGCGCAGAUAUCAGGAGGAACACCUAUGGCGAAGGCAGCUCUCUGGGACGGUACUGACGCUGAGACGCGAAAGCGUGGGGAGCGAACAGG
rnacentral:rRNA from 1 species